CAGCGCCACAAGUGGGGGCCAUGUUUAUUGGGCCUAAAGCGUCCGUAGCCGGUUUAGCAAAUCUUUUGUGAAAUCGUCAGGCUUAACUUGACGAAUUGCAGAAGACACUACUAAACUAGGGACUGGGAGGAGUCAGAAGUAUUCUGGGGGGACCGGUAAAAUGGUAUAAUCCCCAGAGGACUACCGAUGGCGAAGGCAUCUGACCAGAACAGAUCCGACGGUGAGGGACGAAAGCCAGGGGAGCAAACCGGAUUAGAUACCCGAGUAGUCC
rnacentral:rRNA from 1 species